rnacentral:misc_RNA from 1 species
GCUUGUUAUUAAAUUUUAUUAUUUCUCGUCAUAGUCCUUGCACUCCCCUCCCACCCAACACACACAUGUUAGUACAUUAAUAUAAAUUACAUUAGGUUAGUUGAAGUAUUUGUUCAAUCCUCUAGUUUUAUGAAAAAAACGAAAACUUGUAUCUGAUUGUGUAAGUUUGUGGUAUUCACUUUGCAAAUUCAAAUUUUGUAGAAAUUUGUUGAUGGAAGAAAUAUGGCUAAGUGUAGAACAAUGUUUGUUGCAGACUUUUGAGGCUUCUUGAAUUAGAUGCACUUGUUUCUAUUUUUUGCUGUAGUCUUACACGUUAUAUUAGCGACAGUGGUAUAAUAGGUCAUAAAUAUUUGGUAGUUGGGCCUUUUCUAAGAUGGAAAAUAAUUGGGAUAGGCAUCUUUAAUUGAAUCUUAUCAAAUAUCAAAAGUCAAUAAGGGGGAAAGAGAAGGGAAGGAAAACAAAGUAUAACUUGUAUUUUUCCAUGAUGAUCAAUAUUUUGUCAACCUUUCUCGCCUUUUCAGUUUCUAAACCUACAAUUCCUAUUUUCAUGGCUUUGAGUUUUCUAUUUUUUAAAGGGGUCUUUUGGUUAGUGUUGAGAUCUCUAUAACAAAUUGACAAGAUAAACACGA